rnacentral:rRNA from 1 species
AGAGCGAACGCUGGCGGCAGGCCUAACACAUGCAAGUCGAGCGCGUGUAGCAAUACACGAGCGGCAGACGGGAGAGUAACACGUGGGAACGCGCCCUUCGGUUCGGAAUAACUCAGGGAAACUUGAGCUAAUACCGGAUACGCCCUUACGGGGAAAGAUUUAUUGCCGAAGGAACGGCCCGCGUCCGAUUAGCUAGUUGGUGAGGUAACGGCUCACCAAGGCGACGAUCGGUAGCUGGUCUGAGAGGAUGACCAGCCUCACUGGGACUGAGACACGGCCCAGACUCCUACGGGAGGCAGCAGUGGGGAAUAUUGGACAAUGGGCGCAAGCCUGAUCCAGCCAUGCCGCGUGGAUGAUGAAGGCCUUAGGGUUGUAAAGUCCUUUUAACGGGAAGAUAAUGACGGUACCCGUAGAAUAAGCCCGGCUAACUUCGUGCCAGCAGCCGC